GGAAUCUUCCACAAUGGGCGCAAGCCUGAUGGAGCAACACCGCGUGAGUGAAGAAGGGUUUCGGCUCGUAAAGCUCUGUUGUUAGAGAAGAACACGAGUGAGAGUAACUGUUCAUUCGAUGACGGUAUCUAACCAGCAAGUCACGGCUAACUACGUGCCAG
rnacentral:rRNA from 1 species